GUCGAUCAGGCCACACAAUUUCAUGGUGCAUCCAUAAGGUCCUUCGAGCUAUCUUAAAAAUGCACACUUUGUUUCUCGUAAAUCCCGAGCCGAUAGCUGAUGAUUGUGCCGACUAGAGAUGGAAGCAUUUCAAGGGUUGUCUCGGUGCUCUUGAUGGCACUUUCAUCGAUGUUUUGGUUCGUAAUGCCGACAAACCACGGUAUAGGAACGGAAGGGUCAGAUUACAACUAAUUUCCUAGCAGCAUGUGAUCAACACAUGCGUUUCACCUACAUAUCUGUUGGUGACGCUCGUAUUUUGCGCGACGCUGUUAAUCGCCCAUAUGGUUUGAGAGUCCCUUUAGGUAAAUACUACCUCUGCGAUAAUGGGUAUGCAAACAACCAUGGUUUUCUCACUCCUUAAAGGGGUGUUAGAUAUCAUCUGAAGGAAUGGGGUUCGAACGUGGACACGCCGCAAAAUGCAAUUGAGUUGUUCAAUAUGCGUCAUAUUGAGGCCAAAAAUAUAAUUGGAAGA